rnacentral:lncRNA from 1 species
UAAAGUUUGACUAAAAACAAUAUUAUUAGUUGAUUUUAUAAAAAUAAAAUAAAAUAAAUAUUAAAAUAUAAUAUGAUAUUAGAUUAUGUUUACUUACAUCAACACAACAAACUUAAUUUUAAUGCAAAUCGAUUUCGUCUUGAGGUCUAAAAGAGCUUUUUACUGCGAGGUCUUUAAAAUAAAUAUUAAAAAAAAAUAUUGCCGAGAGUUAAAAUCCAAAAUAAAAUAAUC